rnacentral:misc_RNA from 1 species
GAAGAUAAACAGCAGAUUCAACACCUAAUGAAACAGACAAAUAACUUCUUUUAAUGAAAAAGGAAAAGGGAACUGCUCAAAAUAUUUCUCAAGGUAUUGUAACGUGUAUGUAUAGACUGAUUAGUUUUCAGUUUAAUUGUUGACUAAACCAGUAAUAGAGCUUCUCAACCACCAAUUCCUCUAGUUUGAAUAGUCAUUGAUAUUAUUCAGGUUCCCUAAAUUCUUGACAAAUCUCAGUCUUCAUUAUACAUCAAAAGGCAAAUUCCACAUCGACAAGGGCACAAAGCCACCACCACUGUACUGCUACUAUUGGCAACAGAAAUAUUUUAAAAAAUAUAAGGAUACACACACAUACACACUUAUAUACAUCCCAAAUAAUAUAAAAAAUGGCAAGAAGACUCACUUAUGACUAGUUUUUACACAAGAUGUCCUCAUCUAUUUACUAGAGUCAAUCAAUCAAUACAUUUCAAAUAACAAAGGGCUAAUGAUCAAAUAUAUCCCAAAUUUUGCAUGGUUUUCAAUUGUAUCUCAUACUUUAAAUUUUAUCAAUUUGGUUAAAAAGUUACUUAUUUUAUUCAAUUGUUUCCAAUGAAUUUAGGUGUUUACAAAUGGUAAUAUUUAGUUGAGCCCUAAGCCUUUUAAGGAGAAAUUUUGCAAAUGGC